rnacentral:rRNA from 1 species
AAUUUUGGACAAUGGGGGAAACCCUGAUCCAGCCAUCCCGCGUGUAUGAUGAAGGCCUUCGGGUUGUAAAGUACUUUUGGCAGAGAAGAAAAGGUAUCUCCUAAUACGAGAUACUGCUGACGGUAUCUGCAGAAUAAGCACCGGCUAACUACGUGCCAGCAGCCGCGGUAAUACGUAGGGUGCAAGCGUUAAUCGGAAUUACUGGGCGUAAAGGGGUGGAAGCCGGUUCGGAAGGAAGAAGUUAAAACCCCAGGCCUCACCUUUGAACUGGCAUUUUAACUGGCGAGCUAGGAGAAUGCAGAAGGGGGUAGAAUUCCACGUGUAGCAGUGAAAUGCGUAGAUAUGUGGAGGAAUACCGAUGGCGAAGGCAGCCCCCUGGGAUAAUACUGACGCUCAUGCACGAAAGCGUGGGGAGCAAACA